UACGUAGGUGACAAGCGUUGUCCGGAUUUACUGGGCGUAAAGAGCGCGCAGGCGGUCGUUCAAGUCGAGUGUGAAAGCCCCCGGCUCAACUGGGGAGGGUCACUCGAUACUGAUCGACUCGAAGGCAGGAGAGGGUAGUGGAAUUCCCGGUGUAGUGGUGAAAUUCGUAGAUAUUCGGAAGAACACCAGUGGCGAAGGCGGCUCACUGGCCCGGUACUGACGCUGAGGUGCGAAAGCGUGGGGAGCAAACAGG
rnacentral:rRNA from 1 species